CUUCCCGGGUCCUCCCUGCGUGGAGUUUGCAUGUUCUCCCCAUGUCUGCGUGGGUUUCCUCCCACAUCCAAAGACAUGCAGGUUAGGUGCAUUGGCGAUUCUAAAUUGUCUCUAGUGUGUGCUUGGUGUGUGUGUGUGCGCGCGUGCGCCCUGCGGUGGGUUGGCGCCCUGCCCGGGGUUUGUUUCCUGCCUUGCGCCCUGUGUUGGCUGGGAUUGGCUCCAGCAGACCCCCCGUGACCCUGUAGUUAGGAUAUAGCGGGUUGGAUAAUGGAUGGAUGGAUGAAUACAUUU